AUGCCGGUCAGUAGCUUGUCCUCU
rnacentral:snRNA from 1 species